CCUACGGGAGGCAGCAGUAGGGAAUCUUCCACAAUGGGCGAAAGCCUGAUGGAGCAACGCCGCGUGGGUGAAGAAGGUCUUCGGAUCGUAAAACCCUGUUGUUAGAGAAGAAAGUGCGUGAGAGUAACUGUUCACGUUUCGACGGUAUCUAACCAGAAAGCCACGGCUAACUACGUGCCAGCAGCCGCGGUAAUACGUAGGUGGCAAGCGUUAUCCGGAUUUAUUGGGCGUAAAGAGAACGCAGGCGGUCUUUUAAGUCUGAUGUGAAAGCCUUCGGCUUAACCGGAGUAGUGCAUUGGAAACUGGGAGACUUGAGUGCAGAAGAGGAGAGUGGAACUCCAUGUGUAGCGGUGAAAUGCGUAGAUAUAUGGAAGAACACCAGUGGCGAAAGCGGCUUUCUGGUCUGUAACUGACGCUGAGGUUCGAAAGCGUGGGUAGCAAACAGGAUUAGAUACCCCAGUAGUC
rnacentral:rRNA from 1 species